UACGGGGGGGGCAAGCGUUGUUCGGAAUUACUGGGCGUAAAGGGCUCGUAGGCGGCCAACUAAGUCAGACGUGAAAUCCCUCGGCUUAACCGGGGAACUGCGUCUGAUACUGGAUGGCUUGAGGUUGGGAGAGGGAUGCGGAAUUCCAGGUGUAGCGGUGAAAUGCGUAGAGAUCAGGAGGAACACCCAUGGCGAAGGCAGCUCUCUGGUCGACAUCUGACGCUGAGACGCGAAAGCGUGGGGAGCGAACGGG
rnacentral:rRNA from 1 species